rnacentral:rRNA from 1 species
AUGGAGAAGUCGGCCCUGGGGGAGCCAGGAGAGCCGGUCCUGGAAAAGCCAGAGGAGCCGGCCCUGGAGGAGCCAGAGGAACUGGCCAUGGAGAAGCCGACCCUGGAGGAGCCAGAGGAGCCGGCCCUUGAGGAGCUAGAGGAACCGGCCAUGGAGGAGCCAGAGGAACCGGCCAUGCAGAAGCUGGCCCAGGAGGAGCCGGUCCUGGAGGAGCCAAAGGAACCGGCCAUGGAGAAGCCGGCCGUGGAGGAGCCAGAGGAGGCAGCCCCGGAGGAGCCAGAGGAACCGGCCAUGGAGAAGCUGGCCCUAGAGGAGCCAUGA